rnacentral:lncRNA from 1 species
UAUCAUGUCAAACCCCUAAUGUGAUUAUUCCUUCAUAUAUGAUUCAUUUGAGUCGUAUAGGAACGUUUUCCAUUCAAUACGCUCGAUACUUCGGCCGAAGAUUCCCGAAUCAUAUCUUAGAGUAUUCUUCCUCUCUUAUCGAGGAUUAGAGAUUCCUUGUUGCGCAUACACUUGCCUUCAUGACUAAGUGGCUUAACCCCAAUUAUGCCGUGGACACCCUUGAAUGGGGAGACUUUGACAUAAUCAAAGAUUAAGUACUUAACCACAAGACAACGACGAUGCCUCAGGUCUAAGGAUUACUUACAUCUUUCCAACCAUUAGAGUUACUUGCUUGACAUGUGAGUAGACCUCCAUGCAAGUACUCUCGUUCGAUUGUGUUCAGUGAACUCAUUCCCCUAAUGAGCACCUACAUACUUGUCUUAGUGUCACAACACGAAUGGGAUGAGACUUUCCAUCCUUCCAAUUGAAGCAGACAAAGUAUGUACCGGUCUACGCAUUGUUAGUAUCCCUCCGACAAUCCAACGACCAGGAACCUUUUGGACACAAUGGUUAUGUGAAGAAGGUCUCUGUAGUCUAACAUCAUUAGAUUACUUCUUCAAUCGAUCUAUUGUCCAUGGAUACACUAUUUAGGACAUAUAUCGUUAAUUGAGAUAGUCAUAAUUCGUGUCUUUGCCAUUUGAUGUAUAAGAAUCAUCCAUACAUCGAUUCAUUUGUCCUGAAAGAUUUCUUCCAAAGAUUGACUUUCAGGGCAUAUUUCCAACAAUCUCCCACUUGCACUAAAGUCAAUCACUAGUGUAUCUUAUACAUCUUGUCGAGAGAGUUUAUGCUCGUAGGUUAACUUGGUUAUGUAUUAAUCUCUUUUAUAUUUAAAAGGGAUUUACUUAUCAAAUGUUUCCAAAACAUUUGAUGAUGUCUCUUUAUUGUGUUCGAAUACUUUGAUGAGACCUUGAUUCCAUGGCUUGAGCUAUCGCCCCAUUACGUCGUAGUACUACUAACGACCUUAUGGUUUGGAUUCAAUCAUUGGUUCUAAAAGAACCUCUUCCAUUCAAAACACCUUUUGAAGCAGUUUCUAAAACUAUAUAUCGACAUAUAUUUCGUUUGUAUACUUUAUACAAGCUUUGCUCCAACCUUGAGACCAUUGCAGUACAAUACUAACAAUUCAUUCAUAUGAUUAGUACUUCAUCCAUUAUGAAGUUCCAUUUGUUAAAAUGGCUUAUUUUCACUUUGGUUAACAACCUAAGUGAAUGCACGCUUCCAGAGUCCCACUCUGAUGUUUCUUUCUUAAAGGCAAUAAUACUCUAUCAGUUGCUUUGGUUCUGAUCCUGGGAUAUAGUAAUAUCUUAAAGUGAUAAACUCAGUGGUUUCUUCACCUUUGGAUAUCUACUUCACAAGUCAAUACAUGUGUGCCUUUUGUGAUUUUAUGACACAUUCAUUAUAAGGGUUAUGAAAGUGAUUUCCUAUCACAUAGGAAGAUACUUUCUUAAAUCUUCAACAUUUGAGAUUUAAUUCCCAUAUAACAUUAUUGAGAUAGCCUUGCUAUAUCAGUAAGUCCAAUUUCAAGUCUGUUGAUGCACAAAACCGGGACGGUCUUGGAACAACGUAAAUCCGACCGUGAAUUUGCACAAACGCUCAAGAACACUCAGAACACAAAGAACACAAGGAUUUUAUCGUGGUUCACCCCAAUGUUUGGGCUACGUCCACACUGUAGUUGAUUCUGUUUCUCUGUAAUUGUAUGGAUACAAGUGUUUGAGGGGAAGUCCCCCAGAGAGAGAAGAGAAGGGAGAGGAGAGCCUCGGUGGUGUGAUGACUCUCUCUCAAGGCUGUUUUCAGCUCUAGCCCUUAGAAAUGAGGACUUCAGCUCUGGUUUAGAAUGAGGGGGAGUCCCCUUUUAUAGAAUAAGGGGCUCCUCCUUCUUUACAUUUGUCGUGGGCUUAAUGUGUGAGGCCCAAAUACGAGGCCCAAGGCCCAAAUACGAGGCCCAAAUAUAUGGUACCAACAGGAGUCCCCCAAGUCUUCAGUCAAGAGAGUCUUUUGGCUGGAGACUUCAAAUUCAGUCCAUGUGUGGGCCGAAGUGACUGGAUGCUGUCUUGAAACAAUACUCAACAUGAGUCAACGCUUAACAUAAAGUAAUACUCAGCUAGAGGUAGCACACGUUACGAGGUUGCCCGGCCGGAGGUGAUGCCCGUUGCGAGGCUGCUUGGUUAGAGGCUUACGCUCGCGGUGAGAACUUGCUUGGUUAGAGGCUUAUGCUCGCAUCGAGAGGUUGCUCGGCUGGAGUCGAUGCUCAUUGCAAGGUUGCUUGGCUAGAGGCUUAUGCUCGCGGCGAGAGAUUGCUCGGCCGGAGUCGAUGCCCAUUGCCAGGUUGCUCGGUAAGAGGCUACGCUCGCAGCAAGGCGGCUCGGCUCGUGGCAUUCCUGGUUGCAAGUACGUACUUUAUGUUAACGUGUACUCAGUAUGAGUUGAUUCUCGACAUGACUAGGGUCUGUAAGUUGGGUUUGAUUUUGUAAGUGCCCAACAUGAAUGGUGUCUCAGCCCGUGGGUGUCCAAGCAAGUGGAUGUCUGGUCAGGCAAGAGAUCAAUGUUGAUCAGUAGAGCUGGUUGCUCGAUAAUUCCUGACAAUAAAUGACAACAUAAGUAUGAUUGUAUAAUGAAUAAAUCGAAUUGACACAAUUUGUCAAGGCAGAAUAUUGUACGAUGUGCCUACUACAAAUAAAUGAUUUAUUCAGUUGUGUGGUAAAUCACACGUUGCAUAAGUGAAAUAAUUAGCUGAAACACUGGGCAAUGAAUAAAUAUUUGCACAAAUAAAUGCUUAUAAAUAUGCGCGAUCCGACUAGGAUUAGUGAUAUAUAUAUCUAUAUAUAUAUACUUGUGAAAGGUUGUGUGCCCAUAAUUAUGCCACGUGACUAGCCAUUGUCUCAAGGUAAUAGCCUUUGAUGCAAUAGUAUAUAAUAUAUUGAUCAGUUCGGUGCAUGUGUUUAGCACAUGCAAUAGAUGGAGUUAUGAUCAUUUACAAUGAUUAAGUACUACUUUCUGUCAGCACAGUACAUUUAAUAUGGUGUUACAUGGCAUAUAAGUGAUGCAUUUGUAUUGCACUACGCAUACUGAUAUUGGUAUGUGCAUAGCAGACUUAAGUUUACAACAGCAUUAUUUAAUAAAAGCACAAGCACGCGGCAUAUGCGGUUGCAUUCUAGCACAAGUGUAUAUAUAUAUAUAUAUAUACUGUUGUGAUGCCAACUAUCAUUAUAUACUAAUAAUGCUUUCUAGCAACAAGCACGGCAUAUACUAAUAAUGCUUUUGUGAUGCCAACUAUCAUAUUAUAUAUAUAUAUAUAUAUAUAUAUAUAUAUAUAUAUAUGCUGUUGUGAUGCCAACUAUCAUUAUAUAUAUAUAUAUAUAUAUAUAUAUAUAUAUAUAUACAUAUAUUAAUUAUGCUUUUGUGAGUGCCGAUUAUAAUGAAACACUAUUGAUAAAGAAAGAAGAUGCCUUAUCUUUAUCCCGACAUUGGCGGUCGACAGGAAAAAGUGGAUGGAGACCUAACGUUUUUUGUUGUUGUCCAAGCCCUUUUUGAUGAUGAUUAUCGUCUCCGUCUCGGCCUCAGACGCAGAUCGCGGCGGCGUCGGCGUCUGGGAUGGAGUUUCAGCCAUAGGGUUUGGGUUUGAAUGUGAUCUCUGUGUGUGCACUUGGGCUUCUGAGUUGAUUUUGAUACUGGGCUCUGCCAAACUCGGGUCUCACAUUUGAUUGCAUAAAAUUCAAACCAUGAGGCACAUGGUAUGGCUGACCCCAUGCCCUCUCUCCGAAUCUGGUUGCAGUACAUUAUAAUUCUUUAAACUUGAAUUAACAGGAGCUCCACUUUGUCUCUGGCCCCCAACCCACAGGGGAUUUAGCGGGUUUCAGGGGAUUUAGCGGCGGAACAUGGCGGAUGGAGGUGAGAUUCUGGCUCUGUGGGGUUGAGAAUGGCAGAGAGAGAAGUGGACAUCCAGGAGAGGCGGUGCUGUUUUCUGCAGAUUCACGGUGGAGGUUGUGAGGUUUGAUGAAAAAAAAUGAAAGAGAACCGACAUAGCUUUUCGUGUCGAUUCCCACAGACGGCGCCAAAUGUUGAUGCACAAAACCGGGACGGUCUUGGAACAACGUAAAUCCGACCGUGAAUUUGCACAAACGCUCAAGAACACUCAGAACACAAAGAACACAAGGAUUUUAUCGUGGUUCACCCCAAUGUUUGGGCUACGUCCACACUGUAGUUGAUUAUGUUUCUCUGUAAUUGUAUGGAUACAAGUGUUUGAGGGGAAGUCCCCCAGAGAGAGAAGAGAAGGGAGAGGAGAGCCUCGGUGGUGUGAUGACUCUCUCUCAAGGCUGUUUUCAGCUCUAGCCCUUAGAAAUGAGGACUUCAGCUCUGGUUUAGAAUGAGGGGGAGUCCCCUUUUAUAGAAUAAGGGGCUCCUCCUUCUUUACAUUUGUCGUGGGCUUAAUGUGUGAGGCCCAAAUACGAGGCCCAAGGCCCAAAUACGAGGCCCAAAUAUAUGGUACCAACAAAGUCUAUACUUCAAAAUUGACCGUGUCAUGUUUUGUCAUUUUUCGAUUAACAUCUAUGUUUCAUCAAGUCUAUCAAAUAGACUUUAUUCACAUCUUGUUGCUCAAAUUAUGACAUCACUCCCAUUGGCCUUGUUGUAACUUAGCAUUCAAAAAUUAACAAUUAUAUUUUCUUGAUUUGAAUGCAUAUUGCUCCCACUAAUUUAAAUGAAUCAUACAUAAAAGAAUUCCUUCUCAAGCAAUUCCAUGAAAUGUGUGACUUGCUUUAUCAAAUCUAUUCAUUUAAAUUAUAUGGUGUCAUACACCAUACUUCAAGUUUUAGUCAUACUAAGACCUUUAAUGUAGUCAUAUAAGAAUUACCUAAGUCUUUAGUGGAAGCAUGGCUCCUACUAAGGAUAUAGAAACUCAACCAUUCCUUCUAGGUGGUUGAUAUAAUUCUUUAUCAAAACUACAUAGAGCAAUAUCGUUACAUGAGAUGUUGAAUUUGGAUUGUCUUGUUGUUAAACCAUAUGUUGUGACUCAUUUUGAAACUUAUUCCCUUUUGUUUCAUCAACUUGUCCAUAUGCUUUGUUAUUAGCAUGUUCUCAUAAAAGAGAAUGAUGGACAACUCCCAACAUAUAACCAUUUUUAUGCUAGGUUGACGAAACCAACAUUCAAAGACUAUUCUUUAAAUGUUACACAACAUAGAAUUUUUAACGUUUGAAGAGCUUGAGUCCUUUUAACAAUUAAAAUUACAAACUCUUAAUAAUAGUCAAGUACUAUUAUUCUUUAGACAACUAUAAACCAAUCACAUUCAAGUUUAUAUCCAUUUUCACACCUCCCACUAUUUCUCAUGACUUUAAUGAGAAAUCAUUUCAUAAAUUCAAAAUGUAUAAAAGUGGAUUAUAUUGGUAGAAGACAUUGUGUAGUAGCUUUGAAACAUUUCAAGCUUAUUUGUUUCAAUCUUCACUAAGUUUAAUGUCUUGUUAUUUAAGUGACUAAAGUCUUUAAACCUUUUAUAGAUUUAGACACUUCUUUCUUGGUUUAAUCACUAACACAUUUGACAUUUUAAAAACAAUUUUAAGAAUGCCCAAUUAAUUGUUCAAAACUACUAAUUGAAUCAAGAGUGAUCUUGAUCAUUGUGUUUCAAGUGAUAACCAUAUAAGAAACGUUUUUCUUAUUACUUAUAUCAUUAUAAUGUGAUCUUCCUUUUCUUCAAGAAAGGAUUCUCUAGACUUUUGUCAAUUCAUAUAGAACUCAUAUAGUAGACAAAUGGAACCAAAUCUAAAGAUUCAUUGUAUCCUUUUAUGUCCUACUACAUGUGAGAUCUAUCCAUAAUUGAUAAAUCUCUAAAGUUUGGUUUAUCACAUUACAAUUAAGUGAUAUAACUCUUGUAUCUCAUCUAGGAUACAACAAGACAAUUUUCAAUUCAUAACACUACUUUAAGGAAAUAGUAUAUUAAAAAGGCAUACUUCACAUUACAUUAAUAUGAUAGUUCAAACAUUCAUAAUGUUUAAUACAAAAAGUAUUAGCUAUAUAUAUUUAGAGACUAAUAUAAAUACCUUUAUACAUUUAGGCACUAUAUAGUGGUCUUCCAUCACAUGAAGCCACAUAAUAAGUUCUUAUCAAAAUAAGAAAGUUUAAAGACAAUCUUUAAUGCCUAACAAACUUCCUAAGUAGUGAGCAAAAAACAUAGUGGCCGAACCCUUCACCACAUUUUCUUUGCUUGUUCUUCUUCUACUUGGCUUCUCCACCUAUAUACAAUUAUACAAGUGAUUAGCUCUUUAUAUCAAAUAUAAAUAUUUAGAAGAUCUAACAUUUAGAAUUGAAGAUAAGGACAUAAACCAUACCUUGUGGCUUGUCCUUAAGACUUGCAAGGUAUAACUUGCAAUUCCUUCUCCAAUGCCCCUCCUUUCCACAGUGGUGGCAAGUCCCUUUGGGCUCCUUUGCCUUCUUUUUCCUCACUCCUCCUUUCGGCUUAGGAGUGGGUGACUUCUUCUCCUUCCCUUUGCCUUUGCCUUGCGGCAUGGCCUUGGAAGAGGAUGGCUUGUUGUAGGCUACUGCAGCAGUCCCUACACCGCUCUCUUUCUUCAUAGUCUUCUCAGCAGUUACUAACAUGUUUAGUAACUCAGAGAGAGUACUAUCCAUCUUAUUCAUAUUGUAGUUCAUUACAAACUGAGCAAAUGAAUCAGAAAAAGAAGCCAAUACGAAGUCUUGGGCCAAUUCCCCGUCAAGUGGAGUUCCAAGGUUCUCCAAUUGUUCAAUGAAUCCUAUCAUCUUCAGUACAUGUUGGUGUACUGGAGCCCCCUUGACCAUCUUGGUCUUUACAAGUUCACAAACAGUGCUAAAGCGACGGUUGCGCGUCCCUUCGCCAUAUAACUCCGUAAGAUGGAGUAUUAUGGAAAAUGCACUAUCCAUGCCCUCGUGCUGUCUCUGUAGCUCCUCAUUCAUGGAAGCCAACAGAUAGCACUUGGCUUGUAUAUCAUCCUCAACGUGAUUGUCAUACUUAGCACGUUCAUCCUCAGUAGCCUCAGGGCUGAGAGGUAUGUGAGGUGGAGGCUUAUCUAGUACGUAAACAAUCUUCUCCAAUGUUAGGAGAAUCUUGACAUUACGAUACCAUGAUGGGAAAUUGUGCCCCUCUAGGCAAUGUUUGUCGAGUAUUUUUGCGAGUGUGCUUCCAAUCAUAUCUAUAUACAUAAACAAAUAAAAUAAUUAGAUUGAUUGUUGUUUAAGUCAAACGAUUCGGGUCUUUAAACCGAAUGACACCACCCACCAUUUUUGGCAAAUUCCAUAUCCCCCAUAAUGGAAUCCGGGAGAUUUCAAAGAAAGCUCCUAGCGGGUUAUGGGAGGCUCAUUAUUACCAAGCCCACCUCACAAUGAUACGAUGUUUGGCUAGCAACAAUAAUAAUGAGAGGGUACAAUUACCCAUUCACAACAACCUCUUGUGAUUACCCAUCUUUUUUGCCUCUAGAAAAUAAUACCUCACGAUGAUACGAUGUUGGCAUUAUGUUUCUUAGUUAAGUUCUUUCCCACCAUGCCGGUUUAGCUAGGGGUUCAAGAAUGACCUCACGAUGAUACGAUGUUGGCCAUACUCGUUGCCUACCUUAACCUCAUCAAAUGUUUUAAAUAAACUCCUCCUGAAUAUAAGCAUGCAUUUUGUCACUUCCCCAUGAUAGGGUGAAGGCGGUGUACAAGUCAUAAACGCUUGGAGCCUACCACGGUGGAAGGCCACUGAUGAGUAGAUUUUAUAUUAUAUAUUUUACCCUAAUCUUAGUAUAUUUUGGUUAAUAUUUUGGAAGAAUUUUGAUACUUCGAAUUGUAUUUUCAAUAUAGGACUUUCGACUUCCUCUGGAGCAAAACAGGACCAAAUGGACGAAUUUUGGAGUAAUUCCAGUUGGAGGACGUUCGUGAGUUACUUAGCUUGAUCGUAUCAAAAUUUGGGAUUUUUCCACCAAGCGGUGAUUUUCUGGCGAUGAAAUAAAGAAACAGUGCGCAGUGCUGGAAAGUGACGUUUUUGGGCUUAAAUUGCGUUUUUGGAGCCCAAGAUGACCUCGGAUGGGUUUGAGGCCUUCUGGAAAAGUGUUCAGAAUAUUCCAAACAUUAAAUUCAGCUUUAUUGGGCCAGUUUUGGAGCAGCUUAUGGGCCAAAACGUGGCUGUUCAGAUUUUAGACGAAUUUUUAUCAUUUAAUUUAGGGUUAUGUUUUCUAGGGUUUUGGUGGUGGCUUAGCAAAUAUAUUGCUUAGCCAUCUACAGUUUUAGAGGACGCUUUAUUUUAUGCAAUAUUGGAGACAGAGAGAAGGGCUAGGGUUUUGAAGAUUUUCUACUUGAAGGUGUUUUCAAUCCUUUUCUUAAGAAUAUUUUCUAUGAUUUCAAUUAUGAAUAUGCGGAACUAAUUUCUUUUGCUAGGGCGAAGCCUUGAGCCUUAGCAUGAAUAUGUGAUUUUUAUUUAAUUGCUUAUGAUUGAUUGCAUGCGGACUUUGAAUUGUUAAUCACCGGGAUAAAAACUAUCUAAUUGUCGUAAUGCCUGAUCACCAUUAGGAUCUUUAGAAAAGUAAUUUGAUGCAAUUUUGGUCGGAAGGUUCCCUGAAAUUGACACUGGCUUCUUGUGAUUAAUAAUUGUAAUUUCUCUUAAGAUGAAUAUCACGUCUUAAGGAUUGCAUGGUUUUUCAAGGGAUUUUCAUAAAGCAUAAUGAGUCUUUCAUGUUUAGAUUUGAUCCGAACGUCCGGACGGGUUGCAUGUUAGAUAUACGUUCUAUGUUGGAGGUUCCAAGUAGAAUAUGAAUUAGGAAAAUCUAACCUUCAAAGUGGCAUGUGUAGAUCAUAAGUAAUUGGUAAAAAUUCAUAGGAUUGCUAGGUGAUGGUGGAACCCUAGUGCUUUCUUAAUUUGAUUUUUCUCAAAACUGUUUUCUUUUCUCUCUAGUUUUAAUAUUGCAGAUUCUCUUAUCAUUAAUAGUUAAAUUCGUUUUUAGUUUAAGUAUGUUAUAAAAUCAAUCAUCUAAAUUUCUACUUUACAAUAAUUAAUUGAAAUCUGGUUUGUUUCGGUUUAUUUAAUAAUCCCUCUGGAGAAUGACCUUGCGAGAUCCGUUUAUACUACAAUAUCCUUGUAAUUCUUGCAAAUAAAAUAGAAGGUUUUUAUCGCAUUCACAUGUUUUAAAUAAACUCAUCCUGAAUAUAAGCAUGCACUUUGUCACUUCCCCAUGAUAGGGUGAAGGCGGUGUACAAGUCAUAAACGCUUGGAGCCUACCACGGUGGAAGGCCACGAAAAAGUGUUCUAAGCACUCUUACGCUUUCAACUUAAUAUUUGUUUGGUUGAGGGAUUUUAAGGUCUCAUCAAUUUUAUUUAUUUAAUCACAAUCAAAUAAAUAAUGUCCUAUUACAACUACUAGUCCAAAGUUAAUGAAAUUAGUAGCAUAUAAUAUCCCCACUAUUCGUUUUCAUAAAACAAAUCAAUAUCAAAACAUUUUUCAAAAUAUUGGAGAUAUAUAUAACUACUAAUUGUAUUCAUUAUAAUUUAGUAGCGUAUGAUACUCCCACUAUUUGUUUUGAAAAAAAACAAAUCAAUAUCAAAAACGAAUUUUUCAAAUAUUGGAAGUAACUACUACUACUAAGGUUUUUGCAUUCCUUUGAAAUUGGACUUUAUAGUUAUCUUAGGCUCUUGGAUGACCAUGGACUUAUUAGAUUAUUGCAACAACGAGCCAUCAUUGUUGAAUAUAAACUCGGGGAGGUUGUGUCAAUUUAAUUACGUGCUUAUCAAUCCAAUUAAAACCAUUUUCAUUGAGCCAUUAGAAAUGAAAUACAAUCAUUCAUUGCUAAUUUGGGCAUUGGACCCUUUUAAUCUUUAAUCUCAUGUCAAAACCCUCUUUUAGUUAUGUCUCCUUUACCAAUAGUUAAAGAAACUCUAGUCUAGCACAAUAGGGAAUCGACUAACGAAUAGAGAUUAAGAAGUAAUAAGAAUUACAAACCGAUUUGUACAAAUUCCUAUAAAUUACAUAUACUAAAAGGGGAGAGAAAGAUUAACGUCAAACGUGACAAGGUCCAAUUAAACAGUAAUUAACACAUUCCCAAGGUUCAAACAAUUUGAUUUUAGCGCCUUAUCAUAUAGCUCAAUUAUCGUUUAAGGCAUAAGUCCAAAGUCAUCCAUUUCAUAACUACUUAAACACAUUUAAAUAAUCAUAAGGGAAUGCAACAUAAACAUUUAGAUUUAGUGCAUAUGGGCAUAAUAGUAUUAUGAGUUUAAACAACUAACAAAAUUAAAAUCAAAUAUUUUAACUUUCUAGUUAGUAGGGGCCUAAAUGUAAAUAUGAAAAGUUAGGGGUAAAACCGUAAAUAUUUCAAAGUAAAUAUCAACUUUUCAAAGAUUACAAAAUAGCCCCACAAGUGGAUAAAUCCACUAGGGAGGCCGGCCACUUAAUGGGGGAAUGGGAAGUCUCACCCACAUGCUUUAAUUCAAUGCAAAGUAGAAAAAUCAAAAUUUUGCUUGUCACUUAGUUUUGGCAUUUAAAACUUAGGUGAAAAGGUUUGAUGGAAAUCUCCUAGUCAAGUCUAGGGUUUUAUAAGUAUAUAUGAUAUGGUUAUGGAUGGUAUGAACAUCACCCAAAACCACAAAACAAUGCAUUAAAACCAUUUUCAUCAAAAACCAAACUAUGAACACCAAGAACAAAACCAUGAACACUUUUUCAAGAUUUGUGUAUUCUUGGUGAUUUUUCAAACCCAAAAACAAAAGUGACAAGGUUUCUUCUUUCUAGCUUUAAAAGGAUGUGAGAGUGGUUUACAAUAAAACACAAACACAACCCAAAACCACCCCCAAAACCGUGCCAUCCCUUUGGUUCAAAACCCCAAAUUUUGUUCAUGACUUAUUCUUCAUUCAUGCAUCUAAAACACCCUUUUACAUGCAUAUCUUUUUCAACUCUUGAUUUAUAUUUUUCAACCAUUGAAAAACAAAAGAUAAACAUACUUUAAAUGAAGAAAUAAUAUGUCAAACUAGUUCUAAACUCAUUUUUCAUUCAUGCAUACAAAACAUCUUUUGCAUCCAUACCUUUCUCAACUAUUGACUAACAUUUUUCAACUAUUGAAAAACAAAAGAUAAACAUACCUUGAAUGAAACAACAAUAUGUCAUACAUAACAUUAAUACCCAUAUGCAUAAAAUCCAAAAGGACACAUUAUACAUAAACCUUUGGCUCUGAUACCACUUGAAGGGAAAUCUAUGAGAUUCAUGUAUGGGAUUUCUAAAUGACUAUCAUGCAUAUCCAAAACAAUUAUGAUAUACGAAAGCAGCGGAAGCAUUUAUAACAUAUUAUCAAAGCUAUAGUCAUGCAAAUCCCCUUCAAGGUUCAUAGGUUUAUAUAUAAUGCAUCAAAACAAAUUAUGGAAUCAAGAACAAAGUGAAGGUUAGUCUUAUACCUCUUGAUCUAGACUUGAGACCAAGGAUGGACCACCUCCAAGCCCUUUGCUCCUUGAAAUCCUUGAGCCUAGCUUCCCUCCUUGCCUCCUCCACUUUGAAAGAAUGAGUGCUCCUAGGUUCUCUUCAAGUUUCCAAAGUAGGAAACCUCUAAAGAUCCUCACCCACUAGUAUAGUGAGAAGGAUGAAGGAAUAACCAAAAUGGUGAAAGAUUGUUAGCUAAAACACCCCAAUGGUGGCCGGCCCUUUGAUGUGUUAGAGAGCUUUUUUUCUUUUGCCUCUUUGUUGUUUAAACACUUCAAAAACCCUUAUGAACUUUAUCACUAUAAAGUUCCUUAUAUAGACAAAAGAAAACCUAGUCAACACUUGACUAAAUAUCUCCUUCCCCACAUAAUAUGGCCGGUCCUCUUUGUGUUGUUUGGGCUUUGGGCUUUCAUUUAUUUCAAGUCAUCCAAUGCUUGAAUAAAAGCCCAAUGGGUUUAGGCCCAAUGGGCCCAAUUAAACCCGAACGUUUCUUUAAGCCCAAAACGAUCUUUAUCGCUUUUAUGAUUUCUUUAGACUUUUCUAAAUUAAUCACAACACAUAAUUAAUCCAAUUAAUUGUUUCCAUCAUCCAUUAGUUACUCACCACAAUAGUGUUUUGGUGAACAAUCUUUUAGGUUCUAAUUAGCAAGGCAGUGAGGUGAUUGGCAUCAAUCCAAUUGCUUAUAUUUAAUUCAAUCACUUAGUGAAUUAAAACUUCAUUUUAAUUCACCUUUCUUCUUUGACGACUACAUUUAAUCAUCUAGAAGAACUCACAAGCUAUGAGUGACAUCUAACCAUAUGUCAUAGCUACCCAAGCUAAUGUAGAAGUUUAUUCGAAGAACCUAGUCAGUUGGAAUUACAAUGUAAUUCAAUCCUUCUCUAAUACAAUACUCUCAAUCACAUCAUUAGGGUAUGGAUAUAUCAUGUCAAACCCCUAAUGUGAUUAUUCCUUCAUAUAUGAUUCAUUUGAGUCGUAUAGGAACGCUUUCCAUUCAAUACGCUCGAUACUUCGGCCGAAGAUUCCCGAAUCAUAUCUUAGAGUAUUCUUCCUCUCUUAUCGAGGAUUAGAGAUUCCUUGUUGCGCAUACACUUGCCUUCAUGACUAAGUGGCUUAACCCCAAUUAUGCCGUGGACACCCUCGAAUGGGGAGACUUUGACAUAAUCAAAGAUUAAGUACUUAACCACAAGACAACAACGAUGCCUCAGGUCUAAGGAUUACUUACAUCUUUCUAACCAU